CAAAUUUGGUUUUGUUUUCAAAGUUCUAUGUUGUUUUGUUCUGUUUUGUAUUUGGUUCUAUUUUUUAGUCAUGAAGUUAAGUAGUAUCGUGGGAUAUUUGAAGUUCUUGGGUACUGAAAAUUCAAGAAGUUUUAAACUCUGGUCAUCUUAUUUUGGCUGGAAAAAUAGAGGAAAGUUCUGAGCAUACCAUCAAAAUAUAAUAUGGUUUAUUCCUUCAGUAAGGUCCAAUCCCCACGAAAUUAAAGGAACCCUAUCUUUCACAAAUGGCAUGAGCAUUAGUCAAAUGUUAUGUUCUUGUAAAGCAGAAAAUAGUGGAAAAUGUAAACAUGUCUCUACUCUUGUUAAAUGGAAAAUGUGACAUUAAUGGAACAUUCAGUACAUGAGUUGAAAAAAUGUUAACAGAUUGCCAAAUGAAGACCAUUUUUAAUUGAUCUAAACAUUUAUAGAAACAAAGUAUAUGGUUAAUAUAAAUAUUACUUGCCUGAAGUAACGUAGUGUACAAAUCAAUAGUAACCAUAAUUUUUAUUCCCAGGGCCAGUGAGAAACAAUGUGCAUUUGAUUUCUAAGUGUUCUAAGGAAAGAUCUCGUAAGAAUAAAUAGAUCUGUACAAUGAAGAUUAACCUAAUCUGUUUAACCAUCGAAAUUAUUGUAUUGUUAUAAAAAUAAUAAAUCUCCAUUUCAUAUUA
rnacentral:lncRNA from 1 species